CGAAGUCUGGUGCCAGCAGCCGCGGUAAUUCCAGCUCCAAUAGCGUAUAUUAAAGUUGUUGCAGUUAAAAAGCUCGUAGUUGAAUUUCGGGGUUAGUAGGUUGGUCAUGCCUCUGGUAUGUACUGGUCUCACUGAUUCCUCCUUCCUGAUGAACCUUAAUGCCAUUAAUUUGGUGUUUUGGGGAAUUUGGACUGUUACUUUGAAAAAUUAGAGUGUUUAAAGCAAGCUAACGCUUGAAUACAUUAGCAUGGAAUAAUGAAAUAGGACGUUCGAUCCUAUUUUGUUGGUUUCUAGGAUUGACGUAAUGAUUAAUAGGGAUAGUUGGGGGCAUUAGUAUUCAAUUGUCAGAGGUGAAAUUCUUGGAUUUAUUGAAGACUAACUACUGCGAAAGCAUUUGCCAAGGAUGUUUUCAUUAAUCAAGAACGAAAGUUAGGGGGAUCGAAGACGAUCAGAUACCGUCGUAGUCUUAACCAUAAACUAUGCCGACUAGGGAUCGGAUGAUGUUAAUUUUUUUAAUGACUCAUUCGGCGCCUUACGG
rnacentral:rRNA from 1 species